rnacentral:rRNA from 1 species
CAAUAGCGUAUAUUAAAGUUGUUGCAGUUAAAAAGCUCGUAGUUGAAUUUUUGCUUGCCGCCGAUGUCGGAACUUCCGUACGUUCGGCGGCGUGCAUCCUUGGGUGGAACCUGUGUGGCAUUAGGUUGUCGUGCAGGGGAUGCUCAUCGUUUACUGUGAAAAAAUUAGAGUGUUCAAAGCAGGCUUACGCCGUUGAAUAUAUUAGCAUGGAAUAAUAAGAUAGGACCUUGGUACUAUUUUGUCGGUUUGCGCACCGAGGUAAUGAUUAACAGGGACAGUUGGGGGUAUUCGUAUUCCAUUGUCAGAGGUGAAAUUCUUGGAUUUCUGGAAGACGAACUACUGCGAAAGCAUUUACCAAGGAUGUUUUCAUUA